rfam:Gossypium hirsutum cultivar TM-1 chromosome 24, whole genome shotgun sequence
CACAUCAGCGCGUUUUGCUGAUGUGGACACAAAUCGCGCUUACGUGGGCCUGAUUUGCUGCAACGUCAGCAAAGCGCGCUGACGUGG